AGCUGUGGAAGAACAAGCCCAGACACGUUUCUUCACGGAGCCCAAGGAAAACACUUUACCGAACUCAUAUGGGAUGGCCCUGUAAGUUGUGCAGCACUGUUGUACCAACCAAGAGUGACAUUUUAAAGCAUUACAGACUGCACCAUGGGACCUUUGGACACAGCCAUUCCUUGCCUUGCAUUCAUAUUAAUGAAGCGUUCCGAAGGUGCACUGCUGUUCCACUGGAAUCAACAUUUAUGUCCCAACUGGACAGGUACACGCCAAAACUCCUGGAGCUCUUCAGUGCAAAAGGAGGAGUGACUGCAGCGCAUCAAGAACUUGUUGAUGGAACUGAUACAGGACCCAAGUGCCUCUGCAGUGAAGAAGAGAUAUAUGACUGUGAGAUGCCUCAUAGAGUACAUGGGAGAGAGUGGACAGGAGCUAAUCUCUGACUACUGGAACUGCAGAGACCACUGUUCAUGAAGACCUGGAAAUAAAGAAUAUGAGCAUCUACAUCUGUCGUGAGCCAAAUGCAUUAGGAAUCAUCAUUGAGGGAGUACCAGUCCUUACUCAUCUUGGAAACCUGGCCAAAGCAUG